GUCUACGGCCGUACCACCCUGAACAUACCCGAUCUUGUCUGAUCUCGAAAGCUAAGCAGGGUCAGGCCUGGUUAGUACUUGGAUGGGAGAUAACUACAACCAACUUUAUUACCCUAUACU
ensembl:rRNA 5S_rRNA 5S ribosomal RNA